UAUAUCAGUAAUAUUUUCUUGCUUGAAACAUCAUCUCAUAUCAAAUUCAACAUAACCUUCUAAUCAGUGAAUUGUUUCUUUUGAGAGACCUGACUGAAACUUUUCUGAUAGUGCCCUUCAAAAAGUCAACUGAAUUUGAAAUCAAUGACACAGGGCUCCCCUGAAGUAUUCAUACACAGAAAUCGAGACGCCUUAUAAACAUAUCGCCAACCUUAUCGGUAACAAAACCUUGGUGUUGGCAGUUCCAGCUUUCAAUGUCAUCAACGGAGGUUCUCAUGCAGGAAACAAACUUGCAAUGCAGGUCUCUCAGUGAAUUCCAUCCAUUUUCUUGAAACGGCUUUCGUCUCAAUUGCAUUCUAAUCAAUUUGUUGUUUAUACGAGUUCAUGAUCCUUCCCGUAGGAGCUUCCUCUUUUAUUCCACUAUCCUGUUUUCAUUUAUAAAUAAGUUGAAAGAUUUUUCAUUUCUCUUCAAGAGAGACACAGAAGCCAUAAAAACUUGCGUCUUUUUUCCUUAUAGAUUGUUAUUGGAAUGGAUGUUACUGCUUCUGAAAUUUAUGGCACUGAUAAAACCUAUGAUCUGAACUUCAAAAAAGAGAAAAAUGACAGGUCGCAGAAGAUAUCAGGAAAUGCUUUAAAAGAUCUCUACAAAUCAUUUGUGGCUGAGUAUCCAAUUGUAUCAAUAGAAAACCGGUUUGAUCAAGAUGACUGGGAGCAUUACUCCAAGUUAACCUGUGAGAUUGGAAACAAAGUACAGAUAGUGGGCGAUGACCUCUACAAGAGCCUCUUGGUCAGGGGCUGAGCUGCAUGGCGGCUCAAGAACAUGGGCUGUUUGGGGCAGCCCAGGCUGGGGAUUUGGAGGCGUUUGAGGCUCUCGUGUAGAGAGAACCGGGUCUUAUGCAUCAGACUACUGUGUAUGAUCGCUUCUCCGCUCUGCAUAUUGCUGCUGCAAAUGGGCAGAUUGAGGUCCUUUCAUUGAUUUUGGAGAAAUCUGUUCAUCCAGAUGUGGUGAAUCGGCAUAAGGAGGUAGAGGGAUGGAUCUUUUUUGUGGAUUUGGAUUUGGAAUUCCUUUUUUUU